rnacentral:rRNA from 1 species
AGCGAGUCUGCCUUGAAGAUCGGAGUGCUUGCACUCUGUGAAACAAGAUACAGGCUAGCGGCGGACGGGUGAGUAACACGUGGGUAACCUGCCCAAGAGAUCGGGAUAACACCUGGAAACAGAUGCUAAUACCGGAUAACAACAGAUGAUGCCUAUCAACUGUUUAAAAGAUGGUUCUGCUAUCACUCUUGGAUGGACCUGCGGUGCAUUAGCUAGUUGGUAGGGUAACGGCCUACCAAGGCGAUGAUGCAUAGCCGAGUUGAGAGACUGAUCGGCCACUGGGACUGAGACACGGCCCAAACUCCUACGGGAGGCAGCAGUAGGGAAUCUUCCACAAUGGACGCAAGUCUGAUGGAGCAACGCCGCGUGAGUGAAGAAGGGUUUCGGCUCGUAAAGCUCUGUUGUUGGUGAAGAAGGACAGGGGUAGUAACUGACCUUUGUUUGACGGUAAUCAAUUAGAAAGUCACGGCUAACUACGUGCCAGCAGCCGCGGUAAUACGUAGGUGGCAAGCGUUGUCCGGAUUUAUUGGGCGUAAAGCGAGUGCAGGCGGCUCGAUAAGUCUGAUGUGAAAGCCUUCGGCUCAACCGGAGAAUUGCAUCAGAAACUGUCGAGCUUGAGUACAGA